GGUUAAGCGACUAAGCGUACACGGUGGAUGCCCUGGCAGUCAGAGGCGAUGAAGGGCGUGCUAAUCUGCGAUAAGCGCCGGUAAGGUGAUAUGAACCGUUAUAACCGGCGAUACCCGAAUGGGGAAACCCAGUGUGACUCGUCACACUAUCAUUAACUGAAUCCAUAGGUUAAUGAGGCGAACCGGGGGAACUGAAACAUCUAAGUACCCCGAGGAAAAGAAAUCAACCGAGAUUCCCCCAGUAGCGGCGAGCGAACGGGGAGGAGCCCAGAGCCUGAAUCAGCAUGUGUGUUAGUGGAAGCGUCUGGAAAGGCGCGCGAUACAGGGUGACAGCCCCGUACACAAAAAGCGCAUGUGCUGUGAGCUCGAUGAGUAGGGCGGGACACGUGGUAUCCUGUCUGAAUAUGGGAAAUUAUCCUCCAAGGCUAAAUACUCCUGACUGACCGAUAGUGAACCAGUACCGUGAGGGAAAGGCGAAAAGAACCCCGGCGAGGGGAGUGAAAAAGAACCUGAAACCGUGUACGUACAAGCAGUGGGAGCACAGGUUUACCUGUGUGACUGCGUACCUUUUGUAUAAUGGGUCAGCGACUUAUAUUCUGUAGCAAGGUUAACCGAAUAGGGGAGCCGGAGGGAAACCGAGUCUUAACCGGGCGUUAAGUUGCAGGGUAUAGACCCGAAACCCGGUGAUCUAGCCAUGGGCAGGUUGAAGGUUGGGUAACACUAACUGGAGGACCGAACCGACUAAUGUUGAAAAAUUAGCGGAUGACCUGUGGCUGGGGGUGAAAGGCCAAUCAAACCGGGAGAUAGCUGGUUCUCCCCGAAAGCUAUUUAGGUAGCGCCUCGUGAAUUCAUCUCCGGGGGUAGAGCACUGUUUCGGCUAGGGGGCCAUCCCGGCUUACCAACCCGAUGCAAACUGCGAAUACCGGAGAAUGUUAUCACGGGAGACACACGGCGGGUGCUAACGUCCGUCGUGAAGAGGGAAACAACCCAGACCGCCAGCUAAGGUCCCAAAGUCAUGGUUAAGUGGGAAACGAUGUGGGAAGGCCCAGACAGCCAGGAUGUUGGCUUAGAAGCAGCCAUCAUUUAAAGAAAGCGUAAUAGCUCACUGGUCGAGUCGGCCUGCGCGGAAGAUGUAACGGGGCUAAACCAUGCACCGAAGCUGCGGCAGCGAACGUAUCACUUAAAGCGAUUCAGCGGGUUACGAUUGACGGAGCGAAGCGACGUCAAAGCGUAUACAAAGUCGAGUCGGUUUAAGGAUACGUUCGUUGGGUAGGGGAGCGUUCUGUAAGCCUGUGAAGGUGUGUCGUGAGGCAUGCUGGAGGUAUCAGAAGUGCGAAUGCUGACAUAAGUAACGAUAAAGCGGGUGAAAAGCCCGCUCGCCGGAAGACCAAGGGUUCCUGUCCAACGUUAAUCGGGGCAGGGUGAGUCGACCCCUAAGGCGAGGCCGAAAGGCGUAGUCGAUGGGAAACGGGUUAAUAUUCCCGUACUUGGUGUUACUGCGAAGGGGGGACGGAGAAGGCUAUGUUGGCCGGGCGACGGUUGUCCCGGUUUAAGCGUGUAGGCUGGUUUUCCAGGCAAAUCCGGAAAAUCAAGGCUGAGGCGUGAUGACGAGGCACUACGGUGCUGAAGCAACAAAUGCCCUGCUUCCAGGAAAAGCCUCUAAGCAUCAGGUAACAUCAAAUCGUACCCCAAACCGACACAGGUGGUCAGGUAGAGAAUACCAAGGCGCUUGAGAGAACUCGGGUGAAGGAACUAGGCAAAAUGGUGCCGUAACUUCGGGAGAAGGCACGCUGACACGUAGGUGAAGUGAUUUACUCAUGGAGCUGAAGUCAGUCGAAGAUACCAGCUGGCUGCAACUGUUUAUUAAAAACACAGCACUGUGCAAACACGAAAGUGGACGUAUACGGUGUGACGCCUGCCCGGUGCCGGAAGGUUAAUUGAUGGGGUCAGCGCAAGCGAAGCUCCUGAUCGAAGCCCCGGUAAACGGCGGCCGUAACUAUAACGGUCCUAAGGUAGCGAAAUUCCUUGUCGGGUAAGUUCCGACCUGCACGAAUGGCGUAAUGAUGGCCAGGCUGUCUCCACCCGAGACUCAGUGAAAUUGAACUCGCUGUGAAGAUGCAGUGUACCCGCGGCAAGACGGAAAGACCCCGUGAACCUUUACUAUAGCUUGACACUGAACAUUGAGCCUUGAUGUGUAGGAUAGGUGGGAGGCUUUGAAGCGUGGACGCCAGUCUGCGUGGAGCCGACCUUGAAAUACCACCCUUUAAUGUUUGAUGUUCUAACGUGGACCCGUGAUCCGGGUUGCGGACAGUGUCUGGUGGGUAGUUUGACUGGGGCGGUCUCCUCCUAAAGAGUAACGGAGGAGCACGAAGGUUGGCUAAUCCUGGUCGGACAUCAGGAGGUUAGUGCAAUGGCAUAAGCCAGCUUGACUGCGAGCGUGACGGCGCGAGCAGGUGCGAAAAGCAGGUCAUAGUGAUCCGGUGGUUCUGAAUGGAAGGGCCAUCGCUCAACGGAUAAAAGGUACUCCGGGGAUAACAGGCUGAUACCGCCCAAGAGUUCAUAUCGACGGCGGUGUUUGGCACCUCGAUGUCGGCUCAUCACAUCCUGGGGCUGAAGUAGGUCCCAAGGGUAUGGCUGUUCGCCAUUUAAAGUGGUACGCGAGCUGGGUUUAGAACGUCGUGAGACAGUUCGGUCCCUAUCUGCCGUGGGCGCUGGAGAACUGAGGGGGGCUGCUCCUAGUACGAGAGGACCGGAGUGGACGCAUCACUGGUGUUCGGGUUGUCAUGCCAAUGGCACUGCCCGGUAGCUAAAUGCGGAAGAGAUAAGUGCUGAAAGCAUCUAAGCACGAAACUUGCCCCGAGAUGAGUUCUCCCUGAGACUUAAAAGUCUCCUGAAGGAACGUUGAAGACGACGACGUUGAUAGGCCGGGUGUGUAAGCGCAGCGAUGCGUUGAGCUAACCGGUACUAAUGAACCGUGAGGCUUAACCUU
rnacentral:rRNA from 1 species